CAGCUUUGGCAGAAUUGCCUCUAUGAUCUUAUCAGACGGGACCAGCUUGUUCUGCGUCCUGUGCUCUACUCUCAAGCCAUUAAGAAGCGAAGAUGGUACCAUUAGGGAUGAAAGUGCUGGACAUUAAGUGUUUCAUCAGGAAUGGAGAAGAGAGGAACCAGGAAGUCUCUCACUCUGAUGCUGAGCAGAGUAAAACUAAAUCUUUUUAUGAAAUUAUUUUGUGAUGAUGUCAUAAUGCAACAGUCCUUUAAUCAUAUAUAUUGCAAUAUGAAUC